rnacentral:sRNA from 1 species
GGGCUUUUUUUUCCGGAAAGGGGGGCUGCGGAGGGAUCAUUACCGAGUUUACAACUCCCAAACCCAAUGUGAACGUUACCAAACUGUUGCCUCGGCGGGAUCUCUGCCCCGGGUGCGUCGCAGCCCCGGACCAAGGCGCCCGCCGGAGGACCAACCAAAACUCUUUUUGUAUACCCCCUCGCGGGUUUUUUAUAAUCUGAGCCUUCUCGGCGCCUCUCGUAGGCGUUUCGAAAAUGAAUCAAAACUUUCAACAACGGAUCUCUUGGUUCUGGCAUCGAUGAAGAACGCAGCGAAAUGCGAUAAGUAAUGUGAAUUGCAGAAUUCAGUGAAUCAUCGAAUCUUUGAACGCACAUUGCGCCCGCCAGUAUUCUGGCGGGCAUGCCUGUCCGAGCGUCAUUUCAACCCUCGAACCCCUCCGGGGGGUCGGCGUUGGGGAUCGGCCCUCCCUUAGCGGGUGGCCGUCUCCGAAAUACAGUGGCGGUCUCGCCGCAGCCUCUCCUGCGCAGUAGUUUGCACACUCGCAUCGGGAGCGCGGCGCGUCCACAGCCGUUAAACACCCAACUUCUGAAAUGUUGACCUCGGAUCAGGUAGGAAUACCCGCUGAACUUAAGCAUAUCAUAGCCGGGAGGGAAUC